GUGACAUCAUCACUGACAGCACUUUCCAUCACCUACUGAGGUCCAUCAACUCACACCAAAGCAAUUCAAUUGGUGGAACCCAUAUUGUAGCUUCUGCUUUGCUCCUGGGAAUACAUGACUAUAUCGAGAACCACUGAGGUCAUGAGCUAGCAAAGAAGAGGUAAUAAGAAAAACAAUUCUCUAGCAUUUCAUUCAUGACAUCAGGUUAUAGAGCCAGACUGGCUCAUAUUUCCAGGGAAGGAGACCAUGGCAUUUCACUACUAGAGACAGUUUUUCUAAAAUACGGAUAACUAGAAAUGUCUGAAGACAUUUCUGGAGGACUGCUACUGGCAUCUGACAGGUAAGAAGUGAAUACUGCUGCUAAAUAUCUAGAUAUAACAAAGACAGCACCCCACCCAGAGAGGGUUGCCCCUGCUGAGAGGCCAUUGGAACUGAGAUCAACAAAACCUGAAAGUAACCAAAGAAACAAUAUACGAAAAUAAUUAUUCCCAUCCAAUUGUAUUUUCAGUCCCAAUGAUCUUAAGCUAAUAUGAUACUUUUUUAAUAUUGCUACAUGAUUAUUUUUAAAGAUUCUUUUUUCCCUAGAAGUGGAUUUAAGAAGGAGAGAAAGAGUGGCUUUCAAAAUAAGAAAGGUUGAGAAUAUGUCAAUAAAGUUAGCUUUACCAAGGGACCUGAAGUACACUGUGAGCAAUGUCAUUAUCACAUUCCCUCACAGAUAUAGAUGUUGGAAACGUAACAAACUAUGUUGAUACAUGAGCUAUAGAACCUUUGUUACACCAGGUUCACAAACUAUGUUGAUACAUGAGCUAUAGAACCUUAGUUACACCAGGUUCUGUUUUGGUUCUUGUUGCUGUUGCCUAUAGUUGCAUGUUUUUUACUCAAAGCAACAUUCAGGUGUUGUUAUCCCAGGAGCAAAAGAAGCAGCUUCGUGACAAAAUGAUAGAAUAUUCUGAAGACUCCUUACCUAUAAUGAACCAAAUUAAUGUAAUGACCAAGAGUGGAAAUGGAAGAGGGUUAUCAUGGAACCUGAAAGGACACCCAAUUCUUAUCUAGGACCUGAUAUGUGACACACCUGACAUUAUUUCACCUAAUUUGCUGGGCUGUCCUCUGAGGUAGAAUUGCCCCCAUUUUACUGAAGAAAUCACAGAGGCUGUAGCAUGCUUACCCUGAUGAAGGUGAAAAUUAGUACAGUGUCCGAAGCUUCUUGCAGAGAGUAAUAUUGUCCACAUUCAUUUAGACACCCCUUUAAUUCAACACAUUUAUUUUUAACAUGCACACAAAACACGAGACACAAUUGUAGGCCCAGGAAAACAGUUUUAAAUGGAACUGAAUAUCUUCCUAAAUGGAACUUAAUUGCACUUAAAAACAAAACAGAAAAAGUUGCUUAGAUUUUCAUUCAUUUCCUUCUCCCUGGGAACUGAGCCAUUACCCAGCCAUUCACCCAAAGUGCACCAGCUGGUCCAUGGUGCAAAGGGGUAGUGGGAAAUGAUGAUAGAAUUCUUCACAAAUAAUUUUUGCUACGUUGUGUUGUUUUGAAAAUGCUAUAAUGUUAAGGAGCAAGGUAAAUUCUUUUACAAUUCUUUUCUAUAAAAAUCAGAUUAUGUUAACAAUAUGCCUACUUCUAUACACAAAGCUUAGAGGAUGUUCUUAGCAGAAAGAAUAAGAAGGAGCCCAUUGGCUCAGUAAGUCUGAAUAAUUAUGGGAAACCAUCAGAGGAGAGCACGAGAAAACACAGGAAAGUUUUGAUCUUUAGCAAAAAUGAAAUCAUGAAUCCUUUUGCACGACCAGUUCAUCAAAAAGCAAUGAGCGGUCUGCAAGACAGUGAGCAUGCUUACAAGCUUUCAGUUUUCUGCUUUGUUUGAGGCAAGCUGUAGAAAACGAAGUGGGUGCUCUACAUUUGAUUAUUUGAAUUCGACUGCUACUUAGGAUGGAAUCUGAAUUCACUUGUCCAACUACUCCCAAAGGAGAGAAAAAAGUAAGGACAGUGGAAAUUUAUAAGACUGUUUUUGAAGAAGUGUGAAAGAAGAACUCUCAGAAAAUGUAAAUUCCCAACACAGAGUUAUAGCAAGGAGUAAGUCAUGCUUGAAUGUGCUGGAAAAAACUCCCCAUGGGGAGGGGAAGGAGUAAACUAUGGAAAGUACUGGAAGUGGGGGCCUGCUUGGAGUGUUCAAAGAAAACCAGACUGAUUUUGGUACAUUUCCUAAGACCAGAAGUACCUUACAGCAGGUGUGAAAUGAAAACUAAGGAAGAUCACAUGGAGCCAGAGCCACAGUAAGGACUGAUAAAGACAGGAAUAACCUGAUACAUGUUAGUAAGUGACAACUCUGAUAGCAUGGAAUUAGGGGAACUGGAGAGCUUACUGUGCCAGUGUUCAGAUGGGAAGGGAUUCCUGAGUUCUAAACUUCCUUCACAGAAGCAGAGCUUAGGACAGGAAUAGACGCCAAGCAGGAUGCAAAAGCAAGGGAGGAAUAAAGAAAGACUCUGAGAUGUUUGGGUUGAACAAUUGGCAGAAGGAACUGCGUUUACUGAGAAGAGAAAGACUUCUGGAGCAACAGAUUUUGUGAGGAAAUUCAAAAGUUCAGUUUUUGAUGUGUUAGUUUUGAGAUGUCUAAUUAGCAUGUAAGUGCAGAUGUCCAGUUGAAAAUGGAACAGAAAAAUCUGGACUUUAGGACUAAGAUAUGACUACAAGUACAAAACUGAAACAUCCUAAAGCAAAGACUCUCAACAUGUGAAUCAUGACACCUUUGAAGUCACAGAUCAGAUAUUUACACUAUGAUUCAUAACAGUAGCAAAAUUACAUUCCUGAAGUAGCAAUGAAAUAAUUCUAUGGUUGGGGGUCAUCACAACAUGAGGAACUGCAUUAAAGGGCUGCAGCAAUAGGAAGGUCAAGAACUACUGUCCUAAGGAAUAGGUGUCUUUUAACGCCUUAAAAUUGGAUAAAAAAUAACAUAGAAGGUUGAGGUUAGGCUUGAGCUCCAUGUCUCCCUAACCCUUUACAUUUAGAAAGCUAAGGUUAAUACAGCAGAGGAAUAAAAAGUAGGGUAGUGUGAAAAGAGAUAAGAAGUCAAAGAAAGUACCUCCACAAAGAAGAAAUGAUGAAUAGUACCAAUGAUGUCCCAUAUACAGACUACUAAGGCUGCAACAGAUAACAUUGUAUUGCAUAUACAGAGUUGUUUCACUUCAAUUCAUUGAGUGGUCUAUAGAGCAGAUAGAAGUGCAAAACUAUCAUCAACUAUAUCAAGAUUGUCUAUCAGAAAUCAGAGAUGAGACUAGAGUUGAAAGAGGAAGAGUUAUGGGAAUUUAUUCUAUAUCGAUUUUUAAUGUGAAAUACUACAGAUAAGGAUUGUUUUUCUCUAACAUACAUCCAGAAUUUCCCCAAUUGAUAUAACCAAACUUUCUCACAUAAAUUGGUUUGGGAACAUGGGUGAACACAUGGGGGGUUAGCUGGUCAUAAUGCUUCUGUUGGCUGUCUUUCUACACUGAGGAUGAAUUCAUUUUAUCCACUCAUGCAAACAUUCAUCCAGGUCUUAUUGGAAGCUUCUGAUCAAACAGGAUAGUAUUCACACUGAAAAUAGAGCUAAAAGAAUACAAAUAUGAUUACUGUCCUUACUGAGUCUACAAUCUGCCAAUGGGAUAAAGACAGGAAAUAAGACAAGGUUCCAAUAGUCAUGAAAGAGAAGCAUGGGGACUUAGACGUCACUGGUCCUUAUCAGGAAGCAAGAAUUCACCCUACAUUCAAUUGAGGCCUCUUUGGAAGGUCAGAGAGGUGAAUCUGAAGUAACAGCAAUGAGAUAAGUGUAUAGUCCUUCCCUACAUCCAAGGAAAAGACCAAUUGAAGGGACCAAACUCAUAACGGUUUAAGCAUCAUGGAGACAAAAGACAUUCAAUUCAAAACAAAUAAAUUGAAGAAGGUCUAGAAAUAGAGAUGGAGCCAGGAGGUAAGGAAUGGAGCCUUAAAGAGCAAUGCUAUGUAUUUAGCAGAGGCAGAUAGUUUUCUGCUUUUAUAUGGACCUCUGUAAAUCUCUAUUUUUAUAUAGGCCUCUGGUAAACUUGUCUAGCUCAAUGCUUCUAUCCCUAUUGACAAUUCUCUCUGAAAUACUCAUUACCCAAUUUUCACAUAACUGAUUCAUUACAGUCCUUCAAGUUUUCCUUUCCAUGCCAUGAAAAUCUGUUCUAUGUCAAGUACUCACUACACCUUGCACAGCUUUCCUUUUCUAAAAUUGCAUUGUCCUUAUUACAGUGUGUUAUCAGCUACUCUUACUAUGAGGGAUAAUAACUUACUAAAUUCACCUUCUUGUUGCUUCAUAGAGCACAUCAUAAUGCUCAACAGAUGUUUCUUGAGUUUAUUAAACAAUAUUAAGUAAAGGCUUAAAAUAUAGGUUGAGACAAACUUAUUCUCUUUAUGUCUUUUGUUUGUUUUGGAGGGGUUGUGAUUUUGUUUGUCAUUAUUGUCACUUGAGUGCUGGCAUAACUAGUGUAUAUCACCAUGUCUGGAUUAUGAAGUCCUGGGAAUUGAAUCCAGGGGUUCAUGCAGCAAAACAAAAAUACGCUACCACCUGAGUACAUUACCAAUGAUAGAUGAAUUUUAACUUGAUGAAUAGGUAAAUAAGGUUAUAUUCUUAUCUUUCAUGAAAUUUUUACCAAAUGUGAUAGAUCAUAAAUGACAGAUAGAUAAUGAAUAGCUAGAGAGAUGAUAGAUGGAUGUUUGUCUUUAUCAUUUAGCAAAUACUUGUAAAAUUUAUCAAGAUACAUCUCAAAAGAUUAGGAAGAUUUCUAGUAUCUAUUUAUGCUGUGAAAUAUCUAGGUCAAGCAAGUUUACUAAGGUCUAAGAUCAUCUCUGAGAUCCAGUGGUAACACCGACAUCUAGUGGUUAUUAUUCUAAGUUAGCUGUCUCAAUCUUUCAGAGGAUAAAGUUAUUUUUAAAUUAUUAAAGUGCUAUAUAGCUAUGAGUUCACACAUUGCAGAUAUUGUUAGUUAAAUUAGAAAUUAUCCAAUUGAAACAGGGUAUUAGUGAAAUAAAUAAACUGUAAAGAAAUGCAAAGCAUGAAUCAAGGAUGUGAAGCAGCCCCGGUUGGCAGAGCAUGGAAUUCUCUUGAGCCCAUUGUGUUUUCUUUGAAUGAUAGGCCCAUGAGGACUUCAAAAGUGAGCUUCUAAGGUCAAAGACGCAUGCUCCAUUUCCAUUCCCCCUACCCAUUCUCUCAGUUCCAUAUAUUUAAUUCAACCACAAUUUGCAGGAGCUCGCAGAACAUUACUCAAUUAGUUUAUUUUCUAUAGCUCCCUCUAAAGCAUAAGUUCCACAGUGGCAAAAAUGUUUACGCAAUGUUUGUGUUUCUCUUUACAGUAUUUCUAUAAUUAAAAAAGAAUGCCUGGCCUAUAUUGGAAACAUCAUGAAAUAUUUGUGAUUGAAUAAAAUGAAUCUGAAAAUGAUGAAUUAGACGGAAUUAAACAAAAAUACCUACCCUAUCUGUGGAUAGAAGGACAAACAUUUAGAAUGUGGUUAGGAAUUAUGCUGGUUUAGUGAAGUGGUGGUUGUAGCCUCUGCUCCAAGAUCCUUGACUUCACUAGUCUUAGGUAGUUGGCUAGGUUUCUAGUGUAAGACAUAGUUUCCCUCUUUUCGAGUGGGUGUUAAGUCAAAUUAGAGAACUGUUAGCUGCUGUCAAUGUAUCAGCACCAUUACUGCACCCUUAGGGUUAUCAUUCCAUGUUGACAUUGUUUCAGUUCACAGCCAUCAUAGCUGGGUAGGGCUGUUGAUUGCUUCCUGCCUAUGGAACUUUCAUGGUGCCUUCUAGUAGCAUGAAAAUUAGAUUCCGGGAGUUGGCAUUCUUGUCAGUUCCAGCUCAGGAGCCUCUGCGUCUGAACUGCAUGAUGUCUUCAGCAAUAAAGACUUCCCUUACACGUCUGAGGGAUAAUCAAGGACAACAGUAAUCAUCUCAAAAUCUUAGAAAUGUCUGUGACAGCUGUACUAACCAAAAACUCAAAAGAGGGCUUCCCAUGCCUGGUAUCAAGGGUUUUGUUAGACGAUCUUUGACACUUAGAACACUGCCAAGCCAAAUGAGAAAAUCUCAAUUAAACUACAUUUGUAAAUUUACACAUAGAGUUACCCGUUAUUAAAGAAACAUCAUCUUGCAACAAACUGAGACUACUAGAGAAAACCAUAACCCAACAAAAUGCAUGGUUGGCUGCCAAUUCCCAAUGGAUACAUCUAUAGCUACAUCUGAAGCUCAGGAAGCACUGCAGAAGAGGAGGUGUCAAGGUGGUGAGAGAUGGGAGACCAGGGAGUCUGCUGGGAGAUUGCUUCUCACAGGACUGUCAGAAGUAGCACCCAUUAAGUCUCACCCACAUAAACUACACAGGGACAACAAUACACAUGACAAGGUGAAUGGGGUAAAAACUACAAGGCCUCAACUCUACAAAAAGAAAUACAAGAAACUAAGGGAUGUUAAGAGAAUUAAUCUUCCCCAGGGAAGAUCAUACAAAUUAGCUAUUUAAAAUCAAAUGGUCAUCUUCAAAAAUAUGCAUGAGUAACAUUAUAAAGACUGAGCAGGUUAUGUUUAGGAAUAUAUAUACAUACAUAUAUAAAUACAUAUAUGCAUGUGAUGAUAAUUAAUGAAAAAGGAAGCCAUGAGUUUGAAAGAGCAUGGUUAGGUCUUUGGGUGUUUGGAAGGUGGAAAAUGAAGGGGGGCGAUGACAUAAUAUCAAAAGUAAAAGAAAUAAUAAAAAAGGAAAAGUCCCUACCCUUAGCAUCCGUGGAACUAUUAGUAUGCCAAGGUGUGUUGUAAAUUCUAAAGGAAACCAUCAUAGCCUUUCUACAAUAUUAUUCCUCCUGCCUAGUCUCUUUAGAUUAUAAAGGCGGUGUUCUGUAGAAUACAUACACUCUGGCAAAAGUAUGAUCUGACCUAUGAUUUAUAAGACUAAAUUCACCUAUUGUGAUACUCAAAUUUUAAAUUAACAUAAUAUAUAAUGCUUACAAUACAAUAUAGUGAAAACACAGGUGAGAAACCAUACCUUUGAUAGUGUGUGAAGUGAUACAGAGAAGAAAAGAGACAUACUUCAAUGAAUAGCCUAUGAUAGACUAUAUUCAAAUAAUAUGCAUCUCAUAUCUUUUCUUUUUGACCUCAAGGAUUAUCAAAAUGGAAGUUUGAAUUGCAUUGAAAUAAAAGAUAGACUUGUCAUGCAGAGAAAUAACAUUGAAUAGAAUCAGAAGGCAAAAUAAUUGCUCUUUCAUCAGCGAAACCAGGGUCAUGAUACAAAAGAAAGACAAAUCAUUUCAUUUCAUUUAAAGCAGCAAAAUUUCCGUAUAAGAUUUUAGGGAUGAUGAUUGCAAAGGUAUUUAAUGGAAGACCGUGACCUCUAGCAUUUCAGUCCCAUUUUACCUUAGACGAGCCCUUUCUGUUUUAAUCCAUUCUUAUUUUAGUAGCUGCAUAGGGAAUAGAGAGAAUCCUUUCUGAAAUUUGAUUGCACGGUAUUGCCAUCACAGCAUGCUUGUCAUCUUUCAUGGGGAGAACAGGUCAUUCACACUUUGUUAAAUCCUUAGAAACACAGAGAAAUUCAGCAUAGUACUAAGGUGGUACUAUCCAUUACAAGAUAGAACUAGACUCUGCACAGCAAAAUUAAAUUGCCUGUCAUCUUUUCACAUGCUGAGCUAGUCUCAGACUUUCCCUUACUGUUGGAAGGAUUGUAUGUUUAGUACUAUUCUUUAAAAUGAAAAUUAUUUUAAAGUAAUUACAAAAACACUGCAGAAAUUUAUGAGAUGUGUCUGCUUCAUUUUCAAGGAUCAUAAUCAUAAUCAGUCCCAUCUUAAUCCACAAAUCUUUCCUGAAAACAGAUAAACCAAAAUCAGUUCAACUUCUUCUUGGUGCUUGCUCUAUAGAUAAGUGUGUGGCAGUGUGUUUUCAUGGAGCAGACAAGCUUGCUACGUUAGAUUUCAGAACACCUAAAUUGAAGCUCCAGCUUAUCUACUAACUGGUUACAUUGCCUGCCCAAUUAAUGUAGCCUUUUUGACCUGUAUCCUCUUCUAUUAAAUGUGGAUUGUAACUCUGGUCCUAUAUGCCUCACAGGAUUGUGAAAUAGUAGCUAUAAAAACUUCCUUUGAAACUGUCUAAAGUUCUUUGGUGAUGAGAGGAUAUACAGAGCCUGUUGUAAAAGAAAACAUUGAAUUUCCUUCAAGGGAUUAGAUAAAACCUAAAUAAUGAUGCUACCAUUGGCAACUUCAAUCAUCUGUAGGCAUUUAUAAGAGAAGUCAAAAUAGGAAAUGCAUAUACUACCUGAAUAAUGCCUUAAAACAAUAAAUAACCAAUAUUAGCUAAUUAUCUCCAUGUCUCCAAAUUAUUGACAAUUAUUACUAGUAAUAGCAACAUAUUGGUCUAGAGAUGAUCAAAUGUGAAAGACCAAUGUUCAGCAACUCAAUAGUUAAGUUAGAAUAAAAGUUUUUGGACUCAAAAUGACUGCAAAUUUGGGUGCAAUCACUAAAAUUAUGUGCCAUUUUCAUUGGACUAAUAGGUGCCCUGACUGCUACUAAACGUAGUUUGGGGUAUGUUCAAAUGUAUCCAGGAGACAUUGAUAUCUGAAUUAGUUAAUGGGGAGACAACUGCUGUCACCUGUAGAGGUAGACAUCACCCAAUUCACCAAGGGCCAAAACAGCCCCAAAAGGUGGUCUUUGCUCUUGAACUGAGGCACCAAUCUUGUUCUGCCUUAAGGUUUCAACUGAGUACUCCUGGUUCUUGGGACUUCAGACCUAGUCUGGGACUUACACCAUUGCAGUCAUGGUGUACAGGCCUUCAGUUUUGAGUUGCAGCUAAAUUAUUGGUUUCCAUCCUGUAAAAGACUUCCCUGAAUAGUCAUAUGGAUCCAUCCUUCUACGAAAUCAUUUCUAUUAAUCUACACAUUUGAGAGGAAUGGUGUGUGUGUGUGUGUGUGUGUGUGUGCGCACACGCACACAUGAGCACGUGUGUGCGUGUGUGUUGAGUGUCUUCCUCUCUUGUUGCCCAUCUUAUUGAGAGAUGAUCACUCUCUGAAAUGAAUCAGCAUGACUCUCUGACAAGCAAACCCCAGGGAGCCCCAUCUCCCCAGCACUAGUAUUAUGGAUACGCACCACUACAUCCAGUUUUACGUCUAUACAUUUUAAUCUACACCUAGAUCUAUAAGGCAGAUCCCAGUGCUUGUAAUUCUGUGAAGAAACAUGGCUAACACAACCCCGAAUACUAUUUUUUCCUGACUGGAUCUUGUUUUAGUCAUCUUGCUCUUUUGACAGGAAUAGAUCCUUAUCACUAAUACCAUCUAUCCUCCUUAAAUACUAAUCUUACAUAAGAGAUAUUAUUCAUUUCUCACAGUUAGGUACCGACCUGAGGAUGUUGUCUUUUCUUACUCUGUGUUUUGUUAGAUUGCCACUGUCGUCCUUAGCCUUCCGCAGUUAAGCUGCUUCAUAGAGCUGCACACGUUACCUCCUGAGCCACUCACCCUUUGCCACAUUCACAGCCAGCUCUCUGUCAUGGAGGGCGCUUUCUAUAAGCUGUCUUGAAUUUAAUGGUCAUCUGUUCUUCGGCAGCUGGCACAUAUGCAGUGAAUCUAGCAUGUUGGUUCUUUACAUAAGGAUACAGUAGAAAGAGGAGAAUCAUUUCACAUUUUCUCCAUUUUUUUUCAAGAUAUACAGAAUUCUACUCGAGAGUGAAUAUACUUGAGAAUGAGGAUAUAAAUAAAUCUGCAAUGGAGACAUAGAUGCAAAUAUAGUCACAAGGUUAUUCCUGUUGAGCAUGUUAUGGUCACAUUUGAUAGGAGAGUGAGUGGCAGCUAUUGGCAGCGCUAAUGUCACCACCACUAGUCCCAAUCUGUCACACAACUGAAAAGCAAUAGUAAUAUUGUACAUGAGUACUUGGUCAUAUUUUUUUAGGUUUUUCUUUUCAAUUGUGUGUGUACAUUUGUGUACGUGUGUGUGUGUGUGUGUGUACAUGUUUGUGUGUGACUAUGAAGGUCAGAAGAAAGUGUCAGAUCCAUAGGAUCUAGAGUUAGAGACAGUUUUGAACUGGAAAACAUGGGUGUUGGAACUGAACUCCAAUACUCUGAAAAAGUACGGAUUCUUAAUUACUAAGACAUCUCUUUACCCCUAAGAUGUUUUCUUAUCCUUCAUGAAGAAUGCAAAAAGAUACUCAUUAAAAGAUCUUACUAGAUUUAAUGAUAAUAGUAUAAGGUAACAAAAUUAUUUUUUAAAGUGUGCUUACUGUGCAAAACGAGCUCCAAAACUUGGUUCUCUGGAUUUCUGAUCCUCUAUGACACUCCCACAGUUCGUUCUACUGUAAGUGUUAAUUCUGAAGAUCCCUGUUGAUACAGAAUUAGCUAUGUCAAUGACCUUCAGCUUUGACCAAAGCUAAGAUAGUCUUUUGCUUUGAGCAGUAGUAGGAAGGUGUCUGGAGCAUGAUACAUGGAGGGUGAAUGUAACUCCACCUGCCCUUGAAGACAAGGAACAAUUAGAAAAGCCACCAGGAUGCCCCUCAGGGCCAGGGCCAUGCCAACUCCAUGAACCCCAUCAGAAGAUGAACAGAUCGAUCUUUGGGCCUCUAGGUACCUCUCAUAUAAAAGAGUGGAGGGCUUUUUUCCCCUAAAAUAUAACCAUUGAUGUAUUAAAAGCUCAGUGAGUUUAGUCACUUUUUAUCUUUCCCUUUAAAUCUGAAUGAUUGUACUGGGCUUUUAAGGUCUGUGCCAACUAACUAGGGCAUUUUAGUAAUCUAUUUUUAAUAUGUACCAACUUCUGUUCUUUUUAGUUCUGCCUUAAGACAUACUUUUAUCUUCACUGGUAUGCAGAGAUCAUCAAAAAAUAUAAGUUCUCUAUUACAUGACAACACAUAAUGAGUCUUAAUGAAGCCGGGGAACAGCUGUUUAAAACUCCCGUUGAAUAGCUUCCUAAGCAACAUUCACUUAUGAUAGCCUUUCUGCAGCAACAUUGCCUGAGUCUCAGAACUCACCAUACAUAUAAUGAGAAGGGUGAGCAUGAGAUUUUCCUCUGGUUUCAUUAGAUAUUUUCUUCUAAUCAGAAUGCUAAUAUACCAUUAUGAAUUAGUACAUUCUGAGCCAUCAGCUCAGUGUCUUUCACCUUUUAAUUAUAUUUCUUCAUAGAGCAGAAAAGAGAGUAAAUGUUACUAUGCAAAUUUUUAGAAGAGUUCAUGUCCUGGAUGAAAAUGAGAAGGGGAGAGAGAACAUAGAAUAAACUUAUUUUUUUAAUUAUAUUGGAAACAUGUUGUAACUGCAAAAUGUGGGAAAUUAAACUAAGCCUAGAAGAUUUCAAGGGAGAUGUGCAAUCUGAAAUUUAAAGAAUUUUAGCUUCACUAUGUAGGUUAAUAUGUGUGAAGAACAACUAAAACACACUCCGAUAUGAACUUAAUCUCAUCCUUUAUUCAUUUGCACUUUCAAAUAGACUUCUAUAACUUGCUUAAUUUUUCACUCUACAUGUCAAGAGCCUAAAAUGAAAAAUUAAUAGUUGUAAUAGUUUCACAAUCUCAUUAAUCCACAUGGUUCUCAUUACUUCAGGAAUCCAAGGUUUUUAUAGAUGUAAUUUUUUUUACUUCCCACUCUGAUUCAUUUUCUACCAGUUACUUCUCUAGGUGAAGCCCUACUUCCUGUCUCUGGUAGGUAGAAUGUAAAUGGUCCACUAAGAAAUGUGCUUCUACUUAGCAUAGAGCGUUUCACAGAGUAGACACUGGUGAUUUUCUAAAUAACUGAAAAAGUAUCUUUAUCCACAAUCUUUAGGAAACUUAACUCCUUCACAUAAUUUUGAAGGUAUCCUUAUGGUUGCUUCCAUCAUUAUGUGGUGUUUAGUUAGCCAAGCAGAGAGGACUCCAGUGGAUUCUCCUUGGAGGGCAAUCAAAGUACACUGUGUGCUGGUUAGAUAUUUUUGAGACUGUCUCAUGAUAAAUUACUGUUUUUCCCAGUGAUGACAUGUUGUAUUUCUACCAUUUUUACUAUUUCAUUUCACUACAUUUCUAAGAGUUUUCUGGCAGCAUAUUCCAAGAUAAAGGGCUAUUCAUGUUCAUUAAAAGUAGGCAUUUUGUACUUGAGCAUAACAAAUAGCAUGAAUGUUUUCAUCUUCUCUUUUGAACAACAAUAUAAAUAUAGAUAGAAUAAGGAAUGGAUGUCCAGUAUCUACCUUUGUGGGACUAGAGGACAUCUGUGAGUCAAGUCUUCUGUAAAUGUAAAUCAAGUAGUAUCUGAAUAAAAUUGGAAAAAGAGAAUAGAGAAAGUGAAAACUCAGAGCAGGAGGAGUAAACAGAACCAUGCCACAGUUAUAGGCUUCAGGAAAAGGAUUAGAGCCCAAUUCUCCAAAACAGGAACAGAACUUCUGAGUAAAAUGAACAAUCUCCCUUUGCAGAAAUGGCACAUGUCUUGUAGCAAGACAUUUUCCUGAGCAAAUUUAACAUAAAAAGCAAUCUCUCUCUAUCUCUCUCUCUUUCUCUCUCUCUCUCUCUCCAUGUCCCCCUCCUCUAA